GACGAACGCUGGCGGCGUGCUUAACACAUGCAAGUCGAACGGUGAAGCGCCUUCCUUUUUGGUGGGUGUGGAUGAGUGGCGAACGGGUGAGUAACACGUGAGUAACCUGCCCCCUUCUUCUGGAUAACCGCAUGAAAGUGUGGCUAAUACGGGAUAUUCUGGGUCUGUCGCAUGAUGGGUCUGGGAAAGAUAUUGUUUCGGUGGGGGAUGGGCUCGCGGCCUAUCAGCUUGUUGGUGGGGUGAUGGCCUACCAAGGCGGUGACGGGUAGCCGGCCUGAGAGGGUGGACGGUCACACUGGGACUGAGACACGGCCCAGACUCCUACGGGAGGCAGCAGUGGGGAAUAUUGCACAAUGGGCGCAAGCCUGAUGCAGCGAAGCCGCGUGAGGGAUGGAGGCCUUCGGGUUGUGAACCUCUUUCGCCAGUGAAGCAGGCCUGCCUCGUUUGUGGGUGGGUUGACGGUAGCUGGAUAAGAAGCGCCGGCUAACUACGUG
rnacentral:rRNA from 1 species